GAGUGUUACAGCUCUUUUAGAGUUUGUCUAGGAAGAUUUCUGGCUUUAGCCAGAAGACUCUU
rnacentral:snRNA from 1 species